GACGAACGCUGGCGGCGUGCCUAAUACAUGCAAGUGGAACGCUGAAGGAGGAGCUUGCUUCUCUGGAUGAGUUGCGAACGGGUGAGUAACGCGUAGGUAACCUGCCUGGUAGCGGGGGAUAACUAUUGGAAACGAUAGCUAAUACCGCAUAAGAGUAGAUGUUGCAUGACAUUUGCUUAAAAGGUGCAAUUGCAUCACUACCAGAUGGACCUGCGUUGUAUUAGCUAGUUGGUGGGGUAACGGCUUACCAAGGCGACGAUACAUAGCCGACCUGAGAGGGUGAUCGGCCACACUGGGACUGAGACACGGCCCAGACCCCUACGGGAGGCAGCAGUAGGGAAUCUUCGGCAAUGGACGGAAGUCUGACCGAGCAACGCCGCGUGAGUGAAGAAGGUUUUCGGAUCGUAAAGCUCUGUUGUAAGAGAAGAACGAGUGUGAGAGUGGAAAGUUCACACUGUGACGGUAUCUUACCAGAAAGGGACGGCUAACUACGUG
rnacentral:rRNA from 1 species